rnacentral:RNase_P_RNA from 1 species
CGAGUUGGCCGGGCGACCGCGGCACGGGAACGGACAUGCGAAUGUCGCCGCCCGCCGCCGAGGAAAGUCCGGACUCCACAGAGCAGGGCGGUUGCUAACGGCAACCCGGGGUGACCCGCGGGACAGUGCCACAGAAAACAGACCGCCUGCGGCGUCGCGGCCUCGCGAGAGGUCCGAUGCCGCGUGGUGAGGGUGAAACGGUGCGGUAAGAGCGCACCAGCGCCGCGGGUGACCGCGGCGGCUAGGUAAACCCCGCCCGGAGCAAGGUCGAAGGUCGCACCGCUCGCGGUGCGACUGCGCAGGCGUCCGAGGGCUGCUCGCCCGAGCCUGCGGGUGGGCCGCUCGAGGUACCCGGCAACGGGCUACCCAGAUGGAUGGUCGCCCCCCGGCGCGAGCCGGGGACAGGAUCCGGCUUACAGGCCAACUCGUUCG